rnacentral:rRNA from 1 species
CCUGCCCAUCAGAAGGGGAUAACACUUGGAAACAGGUGCUAAUACCGUAUAACAAUCAAAACCGCAUGGUUUUGAUUUGAAAGGCGCUUUCGGGUGUCGCUGAUGGAUGGACCCGCGGUGCAUUAGCUAGUUGGUGAGGUAACGGCUCACCAAGGCCACGAUGCAUAGCCGACCUGAGAGGGUGAUCGGCCACAUUGGGACUGAGACACGGCCCAAACUCCUACGGGAGGCAGCAGUAGGGAAUCUUCGGCAAUGGACGAAAGUCUGACCGAGCAACGCCGCGUGAGUGAAGAAGGUUUUCGGAUCGUAAAACUCUGUUGUUAGAGAAGAACAAGGAUGAGAGUAACUGUUCAUCCCUUGACGGUAUCUAACCAGAAAGCCACGGCUAACUACGUGCCAGCAGCCGCGGUAAUACGUAGGUGGCAAGCGUUGUCCGGAUUUAUUGGGCGUAAAGCGAGCGCAGGCGGUUUCUUAAGUCUGAUGUGAAAGCCCCCGGCUCAACCGGGGAGGGUCAUUGGAAACUGGGAGACUUGAGUGCAGAAGAGGAGAGUGGAAUUCCAUGUGUAGCGGUGAAAUGCGUAGAUAUAUGGAGGAACACCAGUGGCGAAGGCGGCUCUCUGGUCUGUAACUGACGCUGAGGCUCGAAAGCGUGGGGAGCAAACAGGAUUAGAUACCCUGGUAGUCCACGCCGUAAACGAUGAGUGCUAAGUGUUGGAGGGUUUCCGCCCUUCAGUGCUGCAGCUAACGCAUUAAGCACUCCGCCUGGGGAGUACGACCGCAAGGUUGAAACUCAAAGGAAUUGACGGGGGCCCGCACAAGCGGUGGAGCAUGUGGUUUAAUUCGAAGCAACGCGAAGAACCUUACCAGGUCUUGACAUCCUUUGACCACUCUAGAGAUAGAGCUUCCCCUUCGGGGGCAAAGUGACAGGUGGUGCAUGGUUGUCGUCAGCUCGUGUCGUGAGAUGUUGGGUUAAGUCCCGCAACGAGCGCAACCCUUAUUGUUAGUUGCCAUCAUUCAGUUGGGCACUCUAGCAAGACUGCCGGUGACAAACCGGAGGAAGGUGGGGAUGACGUCAAAUCAUCAUGCCCCUUAUGACCUGGGCUACACACGUGCU